rnacentral:rRNA from 1 species
AUUGAACGCUGGCGGCAGGCCUAACACAUGCAAGUCGAGCGCGCGGCGGACGGGUGUGUAAUGUCUGGGAAACUGCCUGUUGGAGGGGGAUAACUACUGGAAACGGUAGCUAAUAUCGCAUACCCUCUCAUGUGCCCCGAUGGGAUUAGCUAGUAGGUGGGGUAACGGCUCACCUAGGCGACGAUCCCUAGCUGGUCUGAGAGGAUGAACAGCCACACUGGAACUGAGACACGGCCCAGACUCCUACGGGAGGCAGCAGUGGGGAAUAUUGCACAAUGGGCGAAAGCCUGAUGCAGCCAUGCCGCGUGUAUGAAGAAGGCCUUCGGGUUGUAAAGUACUUUCAGCGGGGAGGCGUUACCCGCAGAAGAAGCACCGGCUAACUCCGUGCCAGCAGCCGCGGUAAUAC